rnacentral:rRNA from 1 species
AACGAACGCUGGCGGCAGGCUUAACACAUGCAAGUCGAGCGCCCCGCAAGGGGAGCGGCAGACGGGUGAGUAACGCGUGGGAAUCUACCCAUCUCUACGGAAUAACGCAUGGAAACGUGUGCUAAUACCGUAUACGUCCUUCGGGAGAAAGAUUUAUCGGAGAUGGAUGAGCCCGCGUUGGAUUAGCUAGCUGGUGGGGUAAAGGCCUACCAAGGCGACGAUCCAUAGCUGGUCUGAGAGGAUGAUCAGCCACACUGGGACUGAGACACGGCCCAGACUCAUACGGGAGGCAGCAGUGGGUAAUAUUGGACAAUGGGCGUAAGGCUGAUCCAGCCAGGCAGGGUGAGUAAUGAAGGCCCUAGGGUUGUAAAGCUCUUUCACCGGUGAAGAUAAUGACGGUAACCGGAGAAGAAGCCCCGGCUAACUUCGUGCCAGCCGCAGCCGUAACAC